GGCGAGAUGGCCGAGCGGUCUAAGGCGCCAGACUAAGGUGGACAUUUCAGGAGUGUUCAGUGAUCUGGUCCUCACGGGCGUGGGUUCGAAUCCCACUCUCGUCA